GAAGGAUUGAACCAAGAGGGUGACUGGGCUGAGUACACAGAACCUUCAGUGACUGAUUGAUUGACCAGAACACUGCUGCUCAAGCAUAUGAGAGGAUAUAGAUCUGGCUGGACAAGUUUGCCAGCCCGACUCUAGAGAAAUCUCAGCUGAGAAAGUCUGCAAAGAAAUUUGGCUGUGUCUACCUUGGUCUUUACCUCAUUAUCAAUGAGCAGGGGCUAAUUUCUUCACCUGCAACCCUAUUGCACGGUCAUUAUCAGGACUGAGUCAAUAACUGCAAAACAUUUCAAAUAGAGCCACAUGAAGAGGAACUCAAACAUCAGAUGAAUGGAAUCACAUAUUUUAUGGAAGUCAGCCAAGCCUCAAGAGACCCUUGAACCAAGCAGCUAUGGCAGCAGGGAUGGCAGGUCUACACAGGAUCAACAACAUAGAUUCCCUUCCACCAAGUCUAAGCCAGCAACUGCCACUGCUGAGUGCUCAAUCCCUCAAUGAAGAGAACAACACACAGCCCUUGAUAUGACACCAUUCAUCACUGGACAUCUCCACCUUAAGGGGACAGAAGCUCAUCUUUAUCAGAAUCUAUACCUACUUCAUAUCACCUUCCCUGCCUUCAUUGCCUCUGCCAGCUCCAGCAACUGGGAGUUUAUAGGAUGCCUAAUCUCAACAUGGCACUCUGCAUUAUGUCUUCUCAAACCUCUCAUCUUAAGGAGGUACAAGAGUGGGCCCAUGACCAUAGGAUUUCCUGGUCCUACUAUCUACCCCAUUACCAGAAACAGCCAGCCUGACAGAACAGUGGAGGAGCUUACUGAAGACUCAGUUGAAGAGUCUGCAUGGGAAUAACAUUUUAUAGGGUUGGGGCACUGUUCUCCAGGAUAUAAUAUAGUUGAUCCUUGAACAAUGUAGGGGUUAAUGGCACUGACCCCUACACAGUUGAAAAUUUGUGAAUAACUUUUGACUUUCCAAAAACUUGACUAUUAAUGACCUACUCUUGACCAGAAACCUUACCAAUAACAUAAGCAGUCAAUUAACACAUGUUUUUAUGUUAUAUGUAUUAUAUACUCUAUUGGUACAAUAAAAUAAGCUAGGGAGAUGAAAAUGUUACUAACAAAAUCAUAAAGAAGAGAAAAUAUAUUUACUAUUCAUUAAAAAAAAAAAA
rnacentral:lncRNA from 1 species